GCCUGGUGGGCUCAGUCAGUAGAGCAUGUGACUCUUGAUCUCAGGUUGUGAGUUCAAGCCCCACGUUGGGCA
rnacentral:tRNA from 1 species